rnacentral:rRNA from 3 species
GGUGGCGAGUGGCGAACGGGUGAGUAAUACAUCGGAACAUGUCCUGUAGUGGGGGAUAGCCCGGCGAAAGCCGGAUUAAUACCGCAUACGAUCCACGGAUGAAAGCGGGGGACCUUCGGGCCUCGCGCUAUAGGGUUGGCCGAUGGCUGAUUAGCUAGUUGGUGGGGUAAAGGCCUACCAAGGCGACGAUCAGUAGCUGGUCUGAGAGGACGACCAGCCACACUGGGACUGAGACACGGCCCAGACUCCUACGGGAGGCAGCAGUGGGGAAUUUUGGACAAUGGGCGAAAGCCUGAUCCAACAAUGCCGCGUGUGUGAAAAAGGCCUUCGG